CGCUGUUCUGGAAUAGAGGAAUUGUGGCUUAAGUUUCUCGAAGUUACUGUUGUGGACUAUCGUGAAAUCAUUCUUCCCCUUGCGAGAUCAUACCAAUGGAUAGAAUUGAAGAAACAGAUUCCUUUUUAUCUAAAUCAUCCUGGUAGUAGGCGUAUCGGAUUUGCUGAUGCCAACAUUGAUAUUAUAUGCGGAACUUCUGGCCAAUCUGUCAAGGAAAUGGCAAGCACCUCCAAUUCUCAACAAAGUCUUAAUGUUUGCAACAAGAGCAAUGCUGAUAAAGAAUUGUCUAUCUUGAGUGCAAUCA